CCUACGGGAGGCAGCAGUGAGGAAUAUUGGUCAAUGGGCGCUAGCCUGAACCAGCCAAGUAGCGUGAAGGAUGACUGCCCUAUGGGUUGUAAACUUCUUUUAUAUGGGAAUAAAGUGCAGUAUGUAUACUGCUUUGCAUGUACCUUAUGAUUAAGGAUCGGCUAACUCCGUGCCAGCAGCCGCGGUAAUACGGAGGAUCCGAGCGUUAUCCGGAUUUAUUGGGUUUAAAGGGAGCGUAGGCGGGUUGUUAAGUCAGUUGUGAAAGUUUGCGGCUCAACCGUAAAAUUGCAGUUGAUACUGGCAUCCUUGAGUACAGUAGAGGAAGGCGGAAUUCGUGGUGUAGCGGUGAAAUGCUUAGAUAUCACGAAGAACUCCGAUUGCGAAGGCAGCCUGCUGGACUGUAACUGACGCUGAUGCUCGAAAGUGUGGGUAGCAAACAGGAUUAGAUACCCGUGUAGUC
rnacentral:rRNA from 1 species